UACGAAGGGGGCUAGCGUUGUUCGGAAUUACUGGGCGUAAAGGGCUCGUAGGUGGCCAACUAAGUCGGACGUGAAAUCCCUCAGCUUAACUGGGGAACUGCGUCCGAUACUGGAUGGCUCGAGUUCGGGAGAGGGAUGCGGAAUUCCAGGUGUAGCGGUGAAAUGCGUAGAUAUCUGGAGGAACACCGGUGGCGAAGGCGGCAUCCUGGACCAACACUGACACUGAGGAGCGAAAGCCAGGGGAGCAAACGGG
rnacentral:rRNA from 1 species